rnacentral:rRNA from 1 species
UACGGAGGGUGCAAGCGUUGUUCGGAAUUACUGGGCGUAAAGAGUGUGUAGGCGGCCAUAUAAGUCGGAUGUGAAAGCCCUGGGCUUAACCCAGGAAGUGCAUCCGAUACUGCAUGGCUUGAGUCCCGGAGAGGGUUGUGGAAUUCCCGGUGUAGAGGUGAAAUUCGUAGAUAUCGGGAGGAACACCAGUGGCGAAGGCGACAACCUGGACGAGGACUGACGCUGAGACACGAAAGCGUGGGGAGCAAACAGG